AUACUUGCCUCGACGGGGUCUAUGGGUGAUCAAUAAGGCUCAUGGCCUAGGUCAACGGCUCACAGUGCACGUGGUCACUGCAUUGAUCUACCAUCUCCCCUCUAUGGAAGAGUGGACGUCGUAAUUUGUGAUAGAGGGGGUACGCGUUCGCGCGGCCCCGUC
rnacentral:snRNA from 1 species